GAUGGUUGCUGUUUGACAGGCUGACAGGCAAAGUAAAUAGGCAUGGAAAUAAAAUAUUCCUUUGUUUUGGUGGAUCAGGCCAAUGUCACCAGUUGUCAUGUGGGUAGACACUGCUUGAUAAUGCUUCUGGAUGUGUUAGGAUGGGGAGAGGAUAUUGUAUAUAAUCAUGCACUAGAAUCUUGCAUCAUUCUUUCCUGGGCACAGGAAAUCCUGUUGAAGAUUUGAUCAACAAAUUUGAGUGUACAGUUAAAUUGCACUGUUACUUUUACAUUUAAGGUGGUAAGUGGUGCCAUUAUAUAGCACUGUGAAAUUUUAAGGAGUUAGUCUGGAAAAAUCCCAUCUGGCAGAGAUGUGCUUGAUCCUGCAUAUCACUGGGAGUUUGGAGGACAGAUCAAUAGUAGGAUGAAAUGCUAGAUAAUUAUUGUGUGUCUAUGCUUAUAUCUAUUGUCUUGCCUCCACAGCGCAUGAAAGGAAUUUUGCAGAAACAGAAAAACAAACAAAAAAAUAUGAACACAAACUGCUUUAGUCAGCAAAGAUGCAAAUACUAAUAUAGCAUAUAAACUAGUAACCUAAGUGUUAUAAAUCUGUUUUAAUGACAACUUUCAUUAUUAUGAAAGGAGAAAUCCAAUAAAUCAAUAGGAAUUUUGAAAUUGCUGAAGUACUUUAGAUUAAAAUGGACUGUGCUAUGACAUUUGUGGAAACUCUUAGAAAAAAAGGUACCAUCUGGUUUUGUUCUCCCAGAAUCUGCAAAAGGCUGACUUUCUCACUUUUUUAUCCGUGAAACCAUCUUUUGAUUCAUCUGAGCCCAGAUUUCAGUUGUUGAAGCCUAUCUACAGGCAGGAGGCACCUCAGAGCCAAGCAAAGUACAGAGCCCCCAGCUCCUCACAUAGUUU